rnacentral:rRNA from 1 species
UCGAUUUGGAGUUUGUUGCCUAGAGUGAUGGGCUCCGAAGCUAACGCGAUAAAUCGACCGCCUGGGGAGUACGGCCGCAAGGUUAAAACUCAAAUGAAUUGACGGGGGCCCGCACAAGCGGUGGAGCAUGUGGUUUAAUUCGAUGCAACGCGAAGAACCUUACCUGGUCUUGACAUCCACAGAAUCUUUCAGAGAUGAGGGAGUGCCUUCGGGAACUGUGAGACAGGUGCUGCAUGGCUGUCGUCAGCUCGUGUUGUGAAAUGUUGGGUUAAGUCCCGCAACGAGCGCAACCCUUAUCCUUUGUUGCCAGCGAUUAGGUCGGGAACUCAAAGGAGACUGCUGUUGAUAAAACGGAGGAAGGUGGGGACGACGUCAAGUCAUCAUGGCCCUUACGACCAGGGCUACACACGUGCUACAAUGGCGUAUACAAAGGGAAGCGAAGGUGCGAGCUGGAGCGGACCUCCUAAAGUACGUCUAAGUCCGGAUUGGAGUCUGCAACUCGACUCCAUGAAGUCGGAAUCGCUAGUAAUCGUGAAUCAGAAUGUCACGGUGAAUACGUUCCCGGGCCU